rnacentral:rRNA from 1 species
CUACGGGGCGCACCAGUGAGGAAUCUUCCACAAUGGGCGAAAGCCUGAUGGAGCGACACCGCGUGAAGGAUGAAGGCCUAACGGUUGUAAACUUCUUUUCUGAAGGAGCAUAAUGAGAGUACUUCAGGAAUAAGGGACGGCUAAAUACGUGCCAGCAGCCGCGGUAAUACGUAUGUCUCGAGCGUUACCCGGAAUCACUGGGUGUAAAGGGUUCGUAGGUGGCAAAAUAAGUUGGAUAUGAAAGACCGGAGCUCAACUCCGAGUUUGUGUUCAAAACUGUUUUGCUAGAAUCAGGGAGAGGUAAGCGGAAUUCUAAGUGUAGGGGUGCAAUCCGUAGAUACUUAGAGGAACACCAAAAGCGAAGGCAGCUUACUGGAACUGUAUUGACGCUCAUGAACGAAAGCGUGGGGAGCGAAAAGGAUUAGAUACCCCUGUAGUC